rfam:Camelus ferus unplaced genomic scaffold scaffold138, whole genome shotgun sequence.
GAGGGUAUAGCUCAGUGGUAGAGUGUGUGCUUAGCAUGCACAAAGUCCUGGGAUCAAACCCCAGUACCUCUG